UACGUAGGGUGCGAGCGUUGUCCGGAAUUAUUGGGCGUAAAGAGCUCGUAGGCGGUGUGUCACGUCGAUCGUGAAAACUUACAGCUUAACUGUGAGCGUGCGGUCGAUACGGGCAUCACUGGAGUUCGGCAGGGGAGACUGGAAUUCCUGGUGCAGCGGUGAAAUGCGCAGAUAUCAGGAGGAACACCGGUGGCGAAGGCGGGUCUCUGGGCCGAUACUGACGCUGAGGAGCGAAAGCGUGGGUAGCAAACAGG
rnacentral:rRNA from 1 species